AUGGAGGGCUGUAUGAAUCCGGGGAGGACCGCUAAUGGUUCAAAUCUAAGGUCUGAACCUGGUUAUGCUCGGUCCAUCCAUCCACUGACCACUAAAGACCAAUCCAAGCCAGGCCAAGUUCACAAGCACACAUCCCCUCUCAUUUCUACAUCUGAUUAUGAGUAUGACCUUUUGAUCCCUCAGAAAACCGAUAUAACCAUUCAAUGGCCUCAAAUAAUUUUUAACCACAUGAAUUAUGUUCCAAUGAUUUUUAAUAACAUGAGUUAUGUUUAAAAGAUUUUUAAACCACAUGAUUUGUUCUCUUAGUAAAUUAAUCAAAUUGUAGACCCAGGGUACCCGAUGGAGGGCUGUAUGAAUCCGGGGAGGACCGCUAAUGGUUCAAAAUAAAUAUGAAAUUUAGAAAAUUUACGUCAGGGCUAGGGGUUAGUGAGGCUAUGGUUAGCAGAUUUAUGGUUAGGGUUAGGGGCUAGUCUGGGGUUAAUUGCAACUAGGUAUAUAGAUAAAAACGAGUUUCACCCUCAUUAAUUCCACCCUCAUUAGCAUAUGCGAUCUGAUUGGCCAAAGCUUACCUGGCCGUAUCUUUUGAAGCGGAGGUCCGAUGUUCACAUAACUGGUAUCGUUGGAUUCAGGAAGCUGUCGUCUUUCAGGCAGCGUGGAUGUAUGGAAGAAAGGAUGUUGCUUUCAAAUCCAAUGUGACCGUACAACAGUCUAAAGUCUGACAAAAAGGAAGGCAGUCAUCGGUAAAGGCAAAAAAUACAUCCAAAUGAAAUAACCUGUGAAAUCAAUAGUCUUUUAGGAAGAAAGUAUUAGUUUGUCUGUGUGAGUACGUGUGUGUGAUUGUGCACAGGUGUGUGUGUGAGAGUGCACAGGCGUGUGGGUGUGUGUGUGUGCAUGUGAGUGUGCAUAGGUGUGUGUGAGAGUGCACAGCCAUGUGUGUAUGUGUGUGUGUGUGUGUGUGUGUGAAAGAGAGAGAGAGAGAGUGUUUGUGUGUGUGUGUGUUUGUGUGUGUGUGAGAGUGAGGCAGCUGUGUGUGUGUGUGUGUGUGUGUGUGUG
rnacentral:lncRNA from 1 species